CCAACAGUCAGUGGUGAUUUUCGCAAAUCAUCAGUCGGUGGUUUUUUUAGAACCCAAUACACAGCAUUAAUCACAAAUAUCCAGUUUCAAGCUGAAAAUAAUAAACAUAAUUUGAAGUGUAAUAUAUUAAAUAGCCUAACUCAUUAAUGGAAUGUUUUUGUUUCGACGCUGCUGUACUGAUGAUCCAUGACUACUGAAGGGACAGCCUCAGAGCAGCAGAUAAGCCAGUCUGAUCCUGCUGGUGAACCGAGUAGGCAUGGAGAGGCCAGGACUACAGAGACAGGUCCACCUGAAAGAUUGCCUGAACACAUUGCCUAAUUUCACAUCGCUUGGCAAGGAAACCAUGAGAACGGCCUUGAGCAUCAGAGUGUCCACAGCUGGUCCACCUACAGCUGGUCAACUUGAAUCAUUUUUUAUAUAAAUCAAGUCUUUGAUGUUAGCCCCUAUUUUAUGACAUUAAGUUUGAUGAAGAGCUAUGAUGGCACAUCAAACUAAUUCUAGUGAAACAAAGCUGAUAAUUAUUACACUGUUGGAAAAUAUGACUAACAUUUGAAUCAAGACCUAACAAAAGCCACAAAAUACUGUGAAACUAAUUGUAUUAUUACAGGCCUAGCUGGAAUUUGGAUCCUAACCCCAGUCUAAAUUGUUGCUGUACUCCAUGGCUGAUCCGGCAAAGCUAGAAGAAUUGUUUAUCACCUGUGAAAAUUAAAAAAUGUAGCUAAAAAAAGACUAAACAAAAAUCUGAAUUUAUAAAUUCAUAAAUUUCAAUUUUCUAAUGUAAGUAAUUUAGCCUUAACUAAAAUUUUGCAACUAAUUAAUAUAUUAAUAUAAUUAAUAUAUAACAAUUAAUAUAUCUUAUACAAGGGCAGUUGUAGCCUAGGGGUUAGGGUACUGGACUAGUAAUCGAAAGGUUGCUGGUUCAAGCCCCACCACUGUCAGGUUGCCACUAUUGGACCCUUGAGCAAGGCCUUUAACCCUCAAUUGCUUAGACAAUAUACUGUCACAUUGCUGUAAGUUGCUUUGAAUAAAAGCGUCAGCUAAAUGUCAAAUGUAAAUAGAUAUCUUCAUCCAAUUUGUAUCAAACAUUUUUUGUUAACACACUAUUUGGGCUGUAUUGGGUUACAUU